GAUGAACGCUGGCGGCGUGCUUAACACAUGCAAGUCGAACGGUGAAGCAGAGCUUGCUCUGUGGAUCAGUGGCGAACGGGUGAGUAACACGUGAGCAACCUGCCCCUGACUCUGGGAUAAGCGCUGGAAACGGCGUCUAAUACUGGAUAUGAGCUGCGACCGCAUGGUCAGCAGUUGGAAAGAUUUUUCGGUCUGGGAUGGGCUCACGGCCUAUCAGCUUGUUGGUGAGGUAAUGGCUCGCCAAGGCGUCGACGGGUAGCCGGCCUGAGAGGGUGACCGGCCACACUGGGACUGAGACACGGCCCAGACUCCUACGGGAGGCAGCAGUGGGGAAUAUUGCACAAUGGGCGAAAGCCUGAUGCAGCAACGCCGCGUGAGGGAUGACGGCCUUCGGGUUGUAAACCUCUUUUAGCAGGGAAGAAGCGAAAGUGACGGUACCUGCAGAAAAAGCGCCGGCUAACUACGUG
rnacentral:rRNA from 1 species